UGCAUCCAAUUGCAUUAACUCCUUUUGAGCUCUAAAGAGGACAUUCAGUGCUUUCCAAUGAUACCAAAUUUGUAGGGGGUGUGGCUUUGUUACCUUGACUUCACAGUAGAAGAAAAUGGCUUUCCUCAGUGCAAGCACUUUUUAUGGGAAGAGGAAAAAAUGGGAGUCAUUCUCAGAAGCAGAGGGAAUUUUACUGCGGAUUGUUGAUGGAAACUCAGACAUUGAGUUGUCUGAUGAAGAUGACAUGAUGCUGCUAUGACACGCCAAAACUGGACCCCGGUGGAUUAUUUUAAGCAAUACAU